CAAAACUAAAAAAGAACAAACAGAAAAAACAUCAUCAUCCCACAAAUCAUGGUUACUGCCCUUCUACUUCAACGUUUUCUUUGCAUGUGCCUCCUUUUCCAUUGU
rnacentral:ribozyme from 1 species